UACGAAGGGUGCAAGCGUUAAUCGGAAUUACUGGGCGUAAAGGGCGCGUAGGCGGCCUUCUAAGUCGAACGUGAAAUCCCUGGGCUCAACCCAGGAACUGCGUCCGAUACUGGAAGGCUUGAAUCCGGGAGAGGGAUGCGGAAUUCCAGGUGUAGCGGUGAAAUGCGUAGAUAUCUGGAGGAACACCGGUGGCGAAGGCGGCAUCCUGGACCGGUAUUGACGCUGAGGCGCGAAAGCCAGGGGAGCAAACGGG
rnacentral:rRNA from 1 species